rnacentral:rRNA from 1 species
GACGAACGCUGGCGGCGUGCUUAACACAUGCAAGUCGAACGGAAAGGCCCUGCUUUUGUGGGGUGCUCGAGUGGCGAACGGGUGAGUAACACGUGAGUAACCUGCCCUUGACUUUGGGAUAACUUCAGGAAACUGGGGCUAAUACCGGAUAGGAGCUCCUGCUGCAUGGUGGGGGUUGGAAAGUUUCGGCGGUUGGGGAUGGACUCGCGGCUUAUCAGCUUGUUGGUGGGGUAGUGGCUUACCAAGGCUUUGACGGGUAGCCGGCCUGAGAGGGUGACCGGCCACAUUGGGACUGAGAUACGGCCCAGACUCCUACGGGAGGCAGCAGUGGGUAAUAUUGCACAAUGGGCGGAAGCCUGAUGCAGCAACGCCGCGUGCGGGAUGACGGCCUUCGGGUUGUAAACCGCUUUCGCCUGUGACGAAGCGUGAGUGACGGUAAUGGGUAAAGGAGCAGCGGCUAACUACGUG